CGAAGCCGUCGGCGGCAGCAGCCAGCGCCUGCAGCCGCUGAUGGCGGCUGGCGUGCGCGGCGGGAUCAUCGCCGUCGGCCUCGGC
rnacentral:tRNA from 1 species